GUGCUCACUUUGGCAGCACGUAUACUAAAAUUGGAACGAUUCAGAGCAGAUUAGCCUGGUUCCUUCGCAAGGAUGACACGCACAUUUGUGAAGCGUUCCAUACUUCU
ensembl:snRNA U6 U6 spliceosomal RNA